CACAGAAGAAAAUACUGUGAGGAGUACUAGUAACUUUUUCUUUAGCUUUCAACCUUUGUGAAAAAAUAACAAACGGGCCAGAACUCACACCUGACAACCAGUACAACCUGGGAAUCAGAAGCGCCAACACUAAACAUUGACUGGGAGCCAGGUGCUCAGGAGAAGAAAGCUUCUGCUCAAAAUAUAUGAAGGACAAGAGAAACAGAAUUGGUGCCUGAAGUAACCAAAAGACUAACCGGUACCCUCAAUAGCACUGCCUUUGUGAUAAGUCAUUUUACCUGUGCGCAUGGACAAAAGCUUGAAAAAGCAACGAGCAGAGCUCUCCAUCAGGAGACUGUAAUGUGGCAAAGAGAAUAUAGGUAUGACAGAAUAGGAAUGCUCCUCUGUUUUCUUUCCAGUUGUAAACAGCACAACAUGAUAAAUGCUGUCCCUGUUUUCUCUGAAGUUGUUUCUGCUUAUGAACUGAUGUGUAUUGAAAUUGAAAUGUGGGUGUAACAGAUAAUACACCAUAUUUCCUGG